rnacentral:rRNA from 1 species
AUAAACUUGCGGUNGCCCCUUAUGUAGACGUGUGAGUGAUUUGCGGCACAGAGCUCAAAUUUGAAAUCUGGCGCCUUCGGUGUCCGAUGUUGUAUAUUUGAAGAUUGUAAGCCUUGGGGUAUGGCUCUUGUCUAUGUUUCUUGGAACAGGACUGUCACAGAGGGUGAGAAUCCCGUGCGAUGAGAUGCCCAAUUCUAUGUAAGGUGCUUUCGAAGAGUCGAGUUGUUUGGGAAUGCAGCUCUAAGUGGGUGGUAAAUUCCAUCUAAAGCUAAAUAUUGGCGAUGAGACCGAUAGCGAACAAGUACAGUGAUGGAAAGAUGAAAAGAACUUUGAAAAGAGAGUGAAAAAGUACGUGAAAUUGUUGAAAUGGGAAGGGUUUGAGAUCAGACUCGAUAUUUUGUGAGCCUUGCCUUCGUGNGCGGGGUGACCCGACAGCUUAUCGGGCCAGCAUCGGUUAAUGGGCGGUAGGAUAAUGGCGUAGUGAAUGUGACUUUACUUCGGUGAAGUGUUAUAGCCUGCGAUUGAUGCUGCCUGACCUAGACCGAGGACUGCGAUUUCUAUCAAGGAUGCUGGCAUAAUGAUCCCAAACCGACCGUCUUGAAACACNAGNAA